rnacentral:misc_RNA from 1 species
GAAAUGCGAUACUUGGUGUGAAUUGCAGAAUCCCGUGAACCAUCGAAUCUUUGAACGCAUAUUGCGCUCGAGGCUUCGGCCGAGAGCAUGUCUGUCUCAGCGUCAGCUACCCCCAAUCGCCUCCCCCAUUUGUUUUCAGAUGGGCCGGCGGACAUGGCCGUCUCGCCGCCUGGCUCCCGAGCCGGAGCGACGGGUCGGCUGAAGGACAGGGCACACGGUGCGCUCCCGAUCCCAGCCGAUCGAGCGCCAGCAUGGUAGGUGGCCCCGAGCCGCAUGCCGCUGUCGCCUUCGGACCCGGCCUGGCCGAAACGGAGACUAACUGCGCCAGCCACACAGCAGGAAUUUGUGUUUCCACACACAACUCUUUUGACCUGAGAUCAGGCAAGACCACCCGCUGAAC